rnacentral:rRNA from 1 species
UACGUAGGGCGCAAGCGUUGUCCGGAAUUAUUGGGCGUAAAGAGCUCGUAGGCGGUCUGUCGCGUCUGCUGUGAAAUCCCGAGGCUCAACCUCGGGCUUGCAGUGGGUACGGGCAGACUAGAGUGCGGUAGGGGAGAAUGGAAUUCCUGGUGUAGCCGGUGGAAUGCGCCAGAUAUCAGGAGGAACACCGAUGGCGAAGGCAGUUCUCUGGCCUGAAUNCGACGUUGAGGAGCGAAA